AAAAGACCAACCCCAACCAAAACUCAACACAGAUGAGGCAGCUAGAGAACCUAUAAUAUUACCAAUAGAGGUAUUUGAAUUCCAAACUCCCAUUAUCAAACCCCUCUUAGCCUUCCCAAACCAAUUUCCCAUCACAGCCACAACACAAGGCCACCCAAUAGACUGAAAAAGUCCACACAAAAUUUGAACAAUUAAGAAAAAACCAAGCCAAUGCACAUCAAGAAAAU
rnacentral:misc_RNA from 1 species